CUCUUCUGCCACCAUGUGAAGAAGGUCCUUGCUUCCUCUUCAUCAUCUAUCAUGAUUGCAAGUUUAGGCCUCCUCAGCCACGUGCAACUUUUAUUUCACCCUGAAGCCAAAGAGAACUUUCUGAAAGACAAAUUUGCUCAUGCUAUAAUAGUUACUGACAAAUAUUUAAAGGACUAAGUUGUGUAAGGAAUCUACACUGUCAGGCAGAACCAGGAUUCCUGGAAGUAGAACUGGGCUGCUUCAUAAGUCUGACUUCAUAUGACAGCUAGAUUCAAAAGGAUGAAAUCAGUAGAGGUGAGACCUCUUGAUGCCUUGGCUUGGAAGUCACAUAUUCUAUUGGCCAAAGCAAAUCACAAGGCCACCACAAAUUCAAGGAGAUGAAGAAAUAGACUCUACCUCUCUUGAUUGGGUGAGUAGCAUUGUCACUUUCUAGGGUGGAAGAAAUUUUGGGCCAUAUUUAACCAUCUUCCACCUCUGGGAAAUAAGAAAGUUAAUAAACAUGGGUGCCAUAUAAUCAAUUACCACAAAUAAAUCAAAAUCCCAAGAAACCAGAAAAACACAAACAAUCCAUUCAACCAAAUUAAACAAUUUUUUUUUUUUUUUUUUUGGAAACGGAGUCUCGCUGUUGCCCAGGCUGGAAUGCAGUGGCGCAAUCUCAGCUCACUGCAACCUCCGCCUCCUGGGUUCAAGCAAUUCUCCUGCCUCAGCC
rnacentral:lncRNA from 1 species